UGUGGUUUGAAAAUCAUGGUGAGACAAAGUGACUCCAUUUAGGAUGUGACAUAAUUUUCCUCUUACUCUUCUCCAUGAUCCUGGUUCCCUGAACUGGCUGAGUCCCAGGGGUCUAAGUGUUUGUUGCUGGGAUGGCUUGCCCCCAUUGGCA